AAAAUUCUUAAUAAUUUAAUGUUUGAGCCCGUGCUUUGUAAGUGAAGUCUGAUGGAACAACGGAGCAUGCACAUGAGUAGAGGAGAUACAGACGAUACGUGUGUCUGAGUUGUUUGUGGCUCCAUUAGCGUAUGGUGUUGAUGAUGCCCCCUGAGCACAGAAUUCUGGUGAACCCACAAUGCAUGGGAGUUCAGCGAGAUUCAAUGCCAGUACAAGGUCCACUUUUGGAAACUCCCAUCAUGCCUCCUGCCUAUGGAUGGUCUCUUUGGCUGAGAACCGAGCUAACUCACUCAAGAUCCCAAUUAGUGACUCCUCAUGAGAUGGAAGUAAUUCUCCGGCAUCAUCCUCAUUUGACUUCAGAAAAUCCAGCAGUUCUGGACUUCACAGUUGCACCGCACGGUAUUGGGCUGUGGUCUGCUUCCUGGCAACCGAAGGGCAGGACAUAGCCAACCAUACAACUGCAGAGAUCCACAGAGCUACCUGUACAUAGCCAAGGGCAUUCUAAAAUCCCCAAACUUGAAUCCUACUUCCGACUCUGCUAG